rnacentral:rRNA from 1 species
UCGAGCGGCGGACGGGUGAGUAACACGUGGGCAACCUACCUGUAAGAUCGGGAUAACCCCGGGAAACCGGAGCUAAUACCGGAUAAUAUUUCGAACCGCAUGGUUCGGAAUUGAAAGACGGCUUUUGCUGUCACUUACAGAUGGGCCCGCGGCGCAUUAGCUAGUUGGUAAGGUAACGGCUUACCAAGGCAACGAUGCGUAGCCGACCUGAGAGGGUGAUCGGCCACACUGGGACUGAGACACGGCCCAGACUCCUACGGGAGGCAGCAGUAGGGAAUCUUCCGCAAUGGACGAAAGUCUGACGGAGCAACGCCGCGUGAACGAUGAAGGUCUUCGGAUCGUAAAGUUCUGUUGUUAGGGAAGAACAAGUACCAGAGUAACUGCUGGUACCUUGACGGUACCUAACGAGGAAGCCACGGCUAACUACGUGCCAGCAGCCGCGGUAAUACGUAGGUGGCAAGCGUUGUCCGGAAUUAUUGGGCGUAAAGCGCGCGCAGGCGGUUCCUUAAGUCUGAUGUGAAAGCCCACGGCUCAACCGUGGAGGGUCAUUGGAAACUGGGGAGCUUGAGUACAGAAGAGGAGAGUGGAAUUCCACGUGUAGCCGGUGAAAUGCGUAGAUAUGUGGAGGAACACCAGUGGCGAAGGCGACUCUYUGGUCUGUAACUGACGCUGAGGCGCGAAAGCGUGGGUAGCAAACAGGAUUAGAUACCCUGGUAGUYCACGCCGUAAACGAUGAGUGCUAGGUGUUAGGGGGUUUYCGCCCCUUAGUGSUGAAGKUAACGCAWUWAGCACUCCGCCUGGGGAGUACGGCCGCAARGSUGAAACUCAAARGAAUUGACGGGGGCCCGCACMAGCGGUGGAGCAUGUGGUUUAAUUYGAAGCAACGCGAAGAACCUUACCAGGUYUUGACAUUYUUCGCUACCUYUAGAGAUAGAGGGUUCCCUUUSGGGACGGAAUGACCGGUGGUGCAUGGUUGUUGUCAGCUUGUGUUGUGAGAUGUUGGGUUAAGUUCCGCAACGAGCGCAACCCCUUAUUUUAGUUGCCAGCCUUCAGUUGGGCCCUUUAAGGUGACUGCCGGUGACAAACCGGAGGAAGGCGGGGAAGACGUCAAAUCAUCAUGCCCCUUAUGACCUGGGGUACACACGUGGUACAAUGGAUGGUACAAAGGGCAGCCAGACCGCGAGGUUUCGCGAAUUCCAAAAAACCCUUUUCAGUUUGGAUUGCAGGGUGCAACUUGCCUGCAUGAAGCCGGAAUCGGUUGUAAUUGCAGGUCAGCAUAAUGCGGGGAAUACGUUCCCGGGCCUUGUACCCCCCCCCCGUCACCCCCCGAGAGUUGGCAACCCCCGAAGUCGGUGAGGUAACCUUUUGGAGCCAGCCGCCGAA